GUGACAGCAGCCGCGGUAACACGUAGGGACCAAGCGUUGUCCGGAUUUAUUGGGCGUAAAGAGCUCGUAGGCGGCUUGGUAAGUCGGGUGUGAAACCUCCAGGCUCAACCUGGUGACGCCACCCGAUACUGCCAUAGCUUGAGUUCGGUAGGGGAGUGGGGAAUUCCUGGUGUAGCGGUGAAAUGCGCAGAUAUCAGGAGGAACACCGGUGGCGAAGGCGCCGCUCUGGGCCGAAACUGACGCUGAGGAGCGAAAGCGUGGGGAGCAAACAGGAUUAGAUACUCUCGUAGUCC
rnacentral:rRNA from 1 species